rnacentral:miRNA from 1 species
UUAGCAACUUUGAGUACUUUGA